rnacentral:rRNA from 1 species
GCAUCGAUGAAGAACGCAGCGAAAUGCGAUAAGUAAUGUGAAUUGCAGAAUUCAGUGAAUCAUCGAAUCUUUGAACGCACCUUGCGCCUUUUGGUAUUCCGAAAGGCAUGCCUGUUUGAGUGUCAUGAAAUAUCAACCCCUCCUGGUUUCUGAUCAGUGUUGGGCUUGGACUUGGGUGUCUGCCAGUUCGCUGGCUCGCCUUAAAAGAGUUAGUGGUAAUAACAUCCACGGCUAAGACGUAAUAAGUUUCGUCUGGUCAAGGUGUGACGACUGCUCAUAACCCGACCGCAAGGUCAUUAUUUAUGCUCUGACCUCAAAUCAGGUA